UCUGAACCCCUGGUGGCAUCCUGCAUGUGACCAGCGCCUGAAGCACGUCUGCUCCGUGGGCUGACUGCGGUGGGCGAUUGUGGCCGUUCCAUCAGCCCCUGGUGGGAUGCAGCUGAGAGGGCCCAGCCCUCAGGCUGGGAUUCCUGGGUGGCUGCUGGAGCACAGCCAUGGAGAGCAGCACUCACAGAGCUCCCCUGCUGUGUGGUAGGCAAGGAGGUUAUAACCACAUCUCCUGCGCCACAGAAUCCGUGCCAUGAGCUGUCAUCUUCCAACUCUGUCUUCCCCACCCCCAUCUGAUUUAACAUACAGUGCAAAAAGAGGCUGGACUGGUCCCACAUUAGGGGACCAUGUUGCAACCUCCUCUCCGAGCAUGAAACAGGAUCCCUUAGGAAUAAUGGGAUUAACUGAGGAGAAGAAGGGCCACUUAGCUUCUGGCAUUAUUAAAUCUUGCAAUUCUUUUUUGAAAUUUUGCACCACACAUCUCAAGCUACUUUUUGCAGAGACAGACAAUAACUGUCAUCUGUCUGGGAUUUGUGCAGAACAAUAAUACUUGGUUUUUAACAGCGGAUUAUGGAUAUUCUAUCCAGCUCAUGCCUGCUGUAACUCUACUAACAUCAAAGGGUUUGCACUAGGGAUAAAGUUUGCACAUUCAACUUUGUUGGCCAAAUUCAAGUUAGGAAAUUCAAUGUUGUUGAACAAGAUCAGUCAUUAAAACACAUAAUAACUUAUUGUCCUUUUGCUAAUCAUCAUUAAAUGAGCUAAAUGUCCUAAACUAGCCCUUGCUUUCUUGCAGGAUGGAUUCAAUUUGGCUUAAGAUGAGGCUCCAGAUCUGUCACCCAUAGUCAAUGUUCCCGCUGCCCUCAUUCCAUUGGAUCCAGCUGAAGUAUUCUGCUCAGCAGGAGAGCUCAGCUGGGCUAAUGGGCCCUAGGGGCUUGUUCUACUAUUUUCUCAUCUCCUGUUAGGUUUUAGCCAGGUGCAGAAUCCACUGCCUAUUUCCUGAUUAUCCCAGUAUCUGUUUUGUCACAGCUGAAAAUAGCAAGAAGCCUACAGAGAGCUUUAAAUAGUGGCAAGUCAGAGCAGGUAAGAGCUGUCAUCUGCUGCAGAGUGGGAGGAGGUCAGACUGAUGUAUGUAAUGCACCUACAGUGAAGUCAAGCAAGAAGACCCUUUUCUCCAAAGUUAAGCAGCUUUCAUAACUCCCACCAACAAGAAGGUGGCUAGGAGAGCCUAGCUUUUCAUUUGCUCUAUUGAAGUGGAGGAAGGUAAAUUACUUUGAGAGAUUCUGCCAUUUCAAGAUUUUAAUGGGUGGUUUUAACCUGCCUGUUUUAAACAUGUUCAGAGGUCAAUAAAAGGCAAAGCUCUCUACUUUGAAUCUUUCUCUAAGUACAGCCUUAGUUUAAUAGUUUUCAUGACAUGCUUUCAUCAAGUUCUCUUUCCCUUCUCCUUCUGUUAGACUUCACAAAACCCUGAUGAUUUACUUUAGGUUUAGCUGCACUCCAGAGAAAUGCAAAUUUGCCAUUCAAAGGGUCAAGAUUGAUAUUCAAGGUGUUGUCCUUUGAGCUUGAGCAUGAGGGAGGCUAGUACUUUCCCAACUCCAUGUUUUUCCUUGUAAGAAAGGGGACAGAUUGUGCAUCUGUUCCCUCUUGUCUGAACCUUCACAAACAGCUCUGUUACAAGGGCAAAGAAACUGCUGGGCUGUUCUGAAGGAAAGGCAGUCAAGGAAGUAGGGAUCAUAAAACAAUUCUAAUGUGGCAUGGCUGCAAUAGUAGUGCACACAUUGUCUAAUUCCUGCAACAAACACUAUGAAGGAAGUCAGAGUGCAAUGCAGCCACUGACCACUGAGACAGGAACAGCUUCCACGUAGGAGGAAGUCUCUGCUUCCUUUUGCUAACACUCUGGCACCUGAGUUUUAAGAAACUGCCUUAAAAGCAAACUCCUUACAUCAUCAAAGAUAAUAUUCUGUUCAGCUAAGGUCUCCCACAUAAAGGUUUGGCCAGACUUCAUCCACGUGCCCUGUGGGCUGUGUGCAUGUGCAGAGCAGGCGCCGCAGCUCCUCCAGGGAUGGUGUCCCGGUGCUGCUCCCACUGUCGGGCAUCCAGCUUGAGGCACUUCUUAUCCUAGGCCAUAAGUCCUGGCUGCACAAGGUGUCCCAGGCCAUCCUGAAAGGGGAGAGAAGAUACUCACCACCAGCCAGAGAUAUUUCUGACAGGUUCCUUUCUUCCUCUUACCUUGUCAAAAAGUUGAUUAAAACGUCAUUAUAUUUUUAAAGAUUAUUUUCUUCAUAGGAAAUGGGGAAGUUCCUAAUAUUGUCUGGAAUUCUAAAUGCUAUUAUUAGCACAGAGAAAAAGCCCAGCCCUUGAUAUGCCAGCACAAGGCUUCUGCUUUCACAUGGAAAGAGGAUGUUACUCCUAAGAAUUUUCUUGCAGUUCUCAGAGGAGAUGGGGAAGCAGUGAAGGGGGUGGGAUCAGGAAAAGUAUUGAAAAGUAUGAGUAUGCACUGAGACAGCUGUAUGCCUUGGUCAACCUUUGUGAAGGAGGAUACCCCACUGACAGAAUAUGCCUGGCCAUGAAUUGGGUGUGCCUUGGGUAUUGAUGGAAACAACAGUCCUGAAUGUAACCCUUACUACAAGUGAUAACUUCUCAUAGCUGUCAUAAUCCAGACUUUAUGUGCAUGCAACCUGGAGAGAGUCAGACACUGUACUGGAACUGUGCUGGGAGCUGAGGCACCAGACCAUGAGCAGUGCAGCACUUGCCAGUGCUCUCCUCUGCAGCCCCAGCUGAUGACAGCCUGCUGCUUUGAGAGAGGCAUUUUGGCAAACCACCUGGAGCUUUUAAGAUGGAUAAUUUUUUCACAGCACAAUGCUCUUAGGAAUCUCUGGAUGAACACUACAAGCCACCUAUGUGAUUGCUAAAUCCAUCCUAAAUCUAAACAUUGAGUCAUUAAUUCUGGAGGGUGUUUUUUAAACUCUUGCUAACUCUUUAAAAAAAAAGUUAAUGAAUGCCAUUACAGUGACUAAUUUGCAGACUGGUUGAAGAGUAAAGAAACCAAAGCUUGUUCUUUAAGUUUUAACUCCUUAACAGUUUUAAGAAAUUAGUUGCAUAUGGGAGCUAUUUGAUGUGGACAGCACAGUUAAAUGUUAACAGUAAAAAUCUUUGUGAGUAGAAAGCACUGUUUCCCAAAGAAAAACAGAAAUAUCUAAUGCUGUAAAUUUAGCACCAAUAUGCUGUAAUUAAUUGUGUAUACUCACAAACCUGUGGGAAGUCAUGGAAUACAGGAAUUGCCUAUGAAUAAAAAUGAAGUUGACAGUUUCAUCCACCCA